GAUGAACGCUGACAGAAUGCUUAACACAUGCAAGUCUUUGGCGAAGCUGUGCUUGCACAGCCUAGCCAAGGCGGACGGGUGAGAAACGCGUAAGGAACUUGCCCUGCAGUCAGGGAUAACAGACGGAAACGACUGAUAAGACCUGGUAAAGUCAGGCGGACUCAUGUCCAGCCUGAUGAAAAGAGAUGCUGCAGGAGAGCCUUGCGUCCUAUUAGCUUGUUGGUGGGGUAACGGCCCACCAAGGCGAUGAUAGGUAGCCGGCCUGAGAGGGUGGACGGCCACAAGGGGACUGAGAUACGGCCCUUACUCCUACGGGAGGCAGCAGUGGGGAAUAGUGGACAAUGGGGGCAACCCUGAUCCAGCAAUUCUGUGUGCACGAUGAAGGUUUUCGGAGUGUAAAGUGCUUUCAGCAGGGAAGAAAAAAAUGACGGUACCUGCAGAAGAAGCGACGGCUAAAUACGUG
rnacentral:rRNA from 1 species